rnacentral:rRNA from 1 species
UACGGAGGGUGCGAGCGUUGUCCGGAAUCACUGGGCGUAAAGGGCGCGUAGGCGGCGUGGUAAGUCACUUGUGAAAUCUCUGAGCUUAACUCAGAACGGUCAAGUGAUACUGCUGUGCUAGAGUGCGGAAGGGGCAAUCGGAAUUCUUGGUGUAGCGGUGAAAUGCGUAGAUAUCAAGAGGAACACCUGAGGUGAAGACGGGUUGCUGGGCCGACACUGACGCUGAUGCGCGAAAGCCAGGGGAGCAAACGGG